rnacentral:rRNA from 1 species
AGAGUUUGAUCAUGGCUCAGAAUCAACGCUGGCGGCGCGCCUAACACAUGCAAGUCGAACGAGAAAGUGGAGCAAUCCAUGAGUAAAGUGGCGUACGGGUGAGUAACACGUGGAUAACCUGCCCUUUAGUGGGGAAUACCGCUGGGAAACCGGCGACAAUACCGCAUAAGCUCGAGAGAGGAAAGCAGCAAUGCGCUGAAGGAGGGGUCCGCGGCCGAUUAGCUAGUUGGUAGGGUAAUGGCCUACCAAGGCUGUGAUCGGUAGCCGGCCUGAGAGGGCACACGGCCACACUGGCACUGAAACACGGGCCAGACUCCUACGGGAGGCAGCAGUGGGGAAUCUUGCACAAUGGAGGAAACUCUGAUGCAGCGACGCCGCGUGAGCGAUGAAGCCCUUCGGGGUGUAAAGCUCUUUCGGCAGGGAAGAUUAUGACGGUACCUGCAGAAGCAGCUGCGGCUAACUACGUGCCAGCAGCCGCGGUAAUACGUAGGCAGCAAGCGUUGUUCGGAGUUACUGGGCGUAAAGGGUGCGUAGGCGGCCUUGUAAGUAUGGUGUGAAAUCUCCCGGCUUAACUGGGAGGGUGCGCUAUUAACUGCAGGGCUAGAGUGCGGGAGAGGAAAGUGGAAUUCCUGGUGUAGCGGUGAAAUGCGUAGAUAUCAGGAGGAACACCGGUGGUGUAAACGGCUUUCUGGACCGUAACUGACGCUGAGGCACGAAAGCGUGGGUAGCAAACAGGAUUAGAUACCCUGGUAGUCCACGCCCUAAACGAUGCAUAUUUGGUGUGGGCCAUUCAGUUGGUCCGUGCCGGAGCUAACGCGUUAAAUAUGCCGCCUGGGGAGUACAGUCGCAAGGCUGAACUCAAAGGAAUUGACGGGGCCCGCACAAGCGGUGGAGCAUGGUGGUUUAAUUCGACGCAACGCGAAGAACCUUACCUGGG